UCUAUUUGAAAGUAAAAAUAGUCUAGCCUGCUCACUGAUAUAAAGUUAAAGAGCCGCGGUAUUUUGACCGUGCAAAGGUAGCAUAAUCAUUAGUUUUUUAAUUGUAAACUUGUAUGAAUGGUUGGACAAAAGAAAAGCUGUCUUCUAUUGUAAGUAUUGAAUUUAACUUUUAAGUGAAAAGGCUUAAAUAGUUUAGGGGGACGAUAAGACCCUAUAAAACUUUAUAUAUUAGUGAAAUUUAAUUGAAUUUUAAAAGUUUAAUUUAACAUUAUAUUUUAUUGGGGCGAUAAAGGUAUAAAUAAUAUUAACUGCUUGGGUAGAAAACAAUGAUAUUUGUAUAUAUAAAUGAUCUUUUAUAAAAAAUAAAAGACUAAGUUACUUUAGGGAUAACAGCGUAAUUUUUUUUGAGAGCCCAUAUCGAAAAAGAAGAUUGCGACCUCGAUGUUGAAUUAAAAUGUCUAUUAUAGGGCAGU
rnacentral:rRNA from 15 species